rnacentral:misc_RNA from 1 species
ACACCUCAACUCCUCAUGGCUUGCCAUGAUGAGCUUGGACUUUGGGGGUCUUGCUGGCCUGCGGUCGGCUCCUCUCGAAUGAAUCAGCUUGCCAGUGUCUGGUGGCGUCACGGGUGUGAUAACUAUCUACGCCUGUGGUUUUCUGCUAGGUAACCUUCAGCGAUGAAGGUUCGCUGGGGCUUAUAAAUGUCUCUCCUCGGCGAGGACAGAUUUUGACC